GUCAAAGAGAGAGAGGAAGAGGAAGGAAGAGGAGGUCAAAGAGAGAGAGGAAGAGGAAGGAAGAGGAGGUCAAAGAGAGAGAGAGGAAGAGGAAGGAAGAGGAGGUCAAAGAGAGAGAGGAAGAGGAAGGCAGAGGAGGUCAAAGAGAGAGAGGAAGAGGAGGUCAGAGAGAGAGAGAGAGGAAGAGGAGGUCAGAGAGAGAGAGAGGAAGAGGAGGUCAGAGAGAGAGAGAGGAAGAGGAGGUCAGAGAGAGAGAGAGAGAGGAAGAGGAGGUCAGAGAGAGAGAGAGGAAGAGGAGGUCAGAGAGCGAGAGAGGAAGAGGAGGUCAGAGAGAGAGAGAGAGGAAGAGGAGGUCAGAGAGAGAGAGAGAGGAAGAGGAGGUCAAAGAGAGAGAGAGAGAGAGAGAGAGGAAGAGAAAGGCAGAGGAGGUCAAAGAGAGAGAGAGAGGAAGAGAAAGGCAGGAGGUCAAAGAGAGAGGGAGGAAGAGGAGGUCAAAGAGAGAGAGGAAGAGGAAGGAAGAGGAGGUCAAAGAGAGAGAGAGAGAGGAAGAGAAAGGCAGAGGAGGUCAAAGAGAGAGAGAGAGAGAGAGAGGAAGAGAAAGGCAGAGGAGGUAAAAAGAGAGAGAGAGAGAGAGGAAGAGGAGGUCAAAGAGAGAGAGGAAGAGGAAGGAAGAGGAGGUCAAAGAGAGAGAGGAAGAGGAGGUCAAAGAGAGAGAGAGAGGAAGAGGAGGUCAAAGAGAGAGAGGAAGAGGA
ensembl:lncRNA